rnacentral:rRNA from 1 species
GCGGCAAAAGCUCAAAUUUGAAAUCUGGUACCUUCGGUGCCCGAGUUGUAAUUUGUAGAGGGCGACUUUGGGGCGGCUCCUUGUCUAUGUUCCUUGGAACAGGACGUCAUAGAGGGUGAGAAUCCCGUGUGGCGAGGAGUGCGGUUCCGUGUAAAGCGCUCUCGAAGAGUCGAGUUGUUUGGGAAUGCAGCUCUAAGUGGGUGGUAAAUUCCAUCUAAAGCUAAAUAUUGGCGAGAGACCGAUAGCGAACAAGUACAGUGAUGGAAAGAUGAAAAGAACUUUGAAAAGAGAGUGAAAAAGUACGUGAAAUUGUUGAAAGGGAAGGGCAUUUGAUCAGACAUGGUGUUUUGCGCCCCUCGCUCCUUGUGGGUGGGGGACCCUCGCAGCUCACUGGGCCAGCAUCAGUUUUGGCGGUCGGAUAAAACCAGGGGAACGUAGCUUGCUUCGGGAAGUGUUAUAGCCCUUGGGAAUACGGCCAGCCGGGACUGAGGAACGCGAUUCGUCAAGGAUGCUGGCA